rnacentral:rRNA from 1 species
UACGUAGGGUGCGAGCGUUGUCCGGAAUUAUUGGGCGUAAAGAGCUCGUAGGCGGCCUGUCGCGUCGGAUGUGAAAGCCCGGGGCUCAACCCCGGGUCUGCAUUCGAUACGGGCAGGCUGGAGUGUGGUAGGGGAGAUCGGAAUUCCUGGUGUAGCGGUGAAAUGCGCAGAUAUCAGGAGGAACACCGGUGGCGAAGGCGGAUCUCUGGGCCAUUACUGACGCUGAGGAACGAAAGCGUGGGGAGCGAACAGG